rnacentral:rRNA from 1 species
AUGCACGCUGGCGGCGUGCCUAAUACAUGCAAGUCGAGCGAACAGACGAGGAGCUUGCUCCUCUGACGUUAGCGGCGGACGGGUGAGUAACACGUGGAUAACCUACCUAUAAGACUGGGAUAACUUCGGGAAACCGGAGCUAAUACCGGAUAAUAUAUUGAACCGCAUGGUUCAAUAGUGAAAGACGGUUUUGCUGUCACUUAUAGAUGGAUCCGCGCCGCAUUAGCUAGUUGGUAAGGUAACGGCUUACCAAGGCAACGAUGCGUAGCCGACCUGAGAGGGUGAUCGGCCACACUGGAACUGAGACACGGUCCAGACUCCUACGGGAGGCAGCAGUAGGGAAUCUUCCGCAAUGGGCGAAGGCCUGACGGAGCAACGCCGCGUGAGUGAUGAAGGUCUUCGGAUCGUAAAACUCUGUUAUUAGGGAAGAACAAAUGUGUAAGUAACUAUGCACGUCUUGACGGUACCUAAUCAGAAAGCCACGGCUAACUACGUG